CGUGAACCCGGGAGGCGGAGCUUGCAGUGAGCCGAGAUCGCGCCACCGCACUCUAGCCUGGGCAACAGAGCGAGACUCCGACUCCAAAAAAAGAAAAGGAAAUGAAGAAAGCCAUAUUUUUGCAUGUCUUAAUUUGUGUUUGGUGAAAAAUUGUAUUGGCCAUGGAUAGACUGUGUGGAUUUUGUGGCAAGUGUAAAUUGUGUUAUCUGAAAAGCAUCUAUCUUUCAGAUAAAUAAGUGUGCAGAGAUUUUAUUAGGGCUUUCUCCUGGGAUCAGCACCUGCAAACAAGAAGAAAAAGUAGAAUUGUGCAGAGGAAGAAGUUGAACAGUGUUACAGCCUGAAAGAAAGCUAUAACCAACCCUAUGGGGAAUUCUGAAGCUAAGUCUUCCAAAAUAACUGAAGAAUGUGCUGGAAUGCAACAUCCUGAGAUAUGGAGGAACUCACUGGAGCAGCCUCAUUCUGUUCCUUUCCUUCCUAGAAACAGAAUGUUCUUCUUCAUGGCCUACUAUGCCAUGAGAUCCCCAAGGUAUAAAACCCAAUUCUGUCCGCUUUCUGGGGUCCCUCAGGUGUGCUGCAAGUGGGGCACAGCAGUAAGACUCUAUCUGCCUUUAGCAGAUGGAGUGGUGGGGAACCAGCUCAUCAUGAAUCCUAGGCUUCUGUUGUCCCUUGCUUCCUAUCUGGAAGUAAUAAACCAACUUCAUGUAACUUGUGGUAUGAGUGAGUGUUCUGUCUCAUUGGACUCGGGCUAGUAGUAAAAGUGCAGUGAGCUGAAGCCCAAGAAGAAAUGAGCUGAAGUGGUAACCAGUGCACGGAAAACCUGUAUCACAUAAUGUUUAUACAAAGAGUAAUUAUUUUUGGCUUUCUAUGAAGAAUAGAUAUUUUAAAUUUUUCAGGCUCUAUGAUCUCUGUCACAGCUAUUCAACUCUGCUAAUAUAGAGCAAAGGCAUUCAUAGACAAUAUAUAAAUGUAGCUGUGUGUAAAUUAAACUUUGUUUGCAAAACCACCUAGUGGGACAGAUUUAAUCUGAAAACCACACAGCUUGCCAAUUCCUGUGCUUGAUUAAUCUAUACAAUAUUGCUGGAAAUAAGAAGUAAAAAUCUCCCAACACCAGUUACAUGAAUGGAAAUUAGUAAUUGAGUCACAUAUACAAUAAUUAGUCAAAUGACAACAUCUGCUUUCUUUUUGAAUCCUGAAAUGUUUCACUAUUAAAACUUCCAUUAAGAAUAAGUCUCCCAUGUGUAUUCUAUUCUUCUCUCAAUACAACUAAACUUCCAUAAACAAUAAGAAUAUCAGUACAAUGAGUUACAUAUGUAUCUGUUUUUAAAUUUAAAAUAUUGAGGGUUCCACUUCUGGUAUGGUUGAGUAAGUUCCUACUAGACCCAACCUCACACUGAUCAUUCUGAACAAAACACAAAGGCACUGGAGAGUGAACAAAGGCAGUAGAUUACAGAGGGAAGUCAAAUAUUCAUAGGAGAAAACGGCUAGGCAUAGGUUUGCUAUUGCUCACUGGCUUUAGUCUUUAAGGAAGACCUCUGUGGUACAAAAAUGAUGGUCAAAAUAAUGAUAGAAAAUGAAGCCUUUCCAGCCUAAAGAAACAGAGGAUAGAGUUUAAGCAACCAUUUAUAUUAUAAAAUGAAGGGUGAAUCUGAGAGAGGCAUGAGCCAAGGUGAAGAAGCCCCAAAUUCUGCAUAUAAUCUAUGCUGAAUUUCUGACUUACAUGGGAACCAUGGAUACAAGAGACAACUUCCGGCUAUCGAUAAAAUAACUAACCUGGUAUUUGUGUAGCUGCCUGUAAGACAAAGCUAAAUGCCUGCUAAACACACAAAGCAAAAAAAUCAACAAUUUGUGGAGUAACAUCGUAUUCACAGUUUUCAAGAUGUGAUGCAAUUGUUUCACAUACAAGGAGCUUGGAAUGUAUGCUAUAUUCCACAAAAUAAUAAUUAAUUUAUAAAACAAAAACAAAAUAUCAGUAAAAUAUGAAAGAUCUGAAUAGCAUUAAUCAAUUUGACCUAUUUGAUGUGUAUACAACAUUUCCCCAACAGCAACAUGAAAUUAAAUCUCAAGUAAGUGAAAGAAAAUAACUAAGAUAAAUGUAGAAAUCAACAAAAUAAAAAAACAUUAUUCGACAAAGAAAAUUUGUUUUGUUGUAAAGAUCAAUAAAUUUAUAAGCCACUAACUAGAUUGAUCAAGAAGAUUGAGCAAGAAAACAAAUUACUUGUAUCAGUGAUAAAAGAAUAGUUAUCACUAAAAGUAGUAUGGGCAUACACAGACUAAUAAGACCAUAUUAUGAACAAUUUUCCAUCAACAACUUAGACUAAAUGGACAAAUUUCCUGAAAAGAGCAAUUUACCAAAACUGAAGUGAAACAAAGGACAAAAUCCAAAUAACCCUGUCUAGUAAAUAAAUUGAACCCAUUUUCAUAAACCUUUCAAAGAAGAAAACUCCAGGACCAGAUGAUAUCACUAGUAAAUUAUUUCAAUCAUUUAAAGAAGAAAUAACAUCAAAUUUACAUAAACUCUGUCACAAUAUAGAAAAUGAGGGAAUACUCCUGAAUUCAUAGAAAAAUAAAUAAAAUAAUGCUAGAAGCUAAUAGGUCCCCAUGAGCUAAGAUUCAACAUUUAUUAACAAUACUUUAGAAAAUCAAAUCCAGCAAUACAUAAAUGGGGUAGUGCAUUGUAGCUGAGAGGUUUUGUCACAGGAAUACAAGGUUGAGUUAAAUUUCCAAAUGAAUUGAUGUAAUUCACUGUAUUAACAGAAUAAAGAAGAAAAAGUACAAAUUUAUUUUAAUAAGUGUGAAAGAACAUUUGACAAAAUUUUACACUUUUUCAAAAUUAAAAAUGUAUAACAAUUUAGUAACAUAAGGAAAUUUUCUCAGUCCGAUAAAGGAAAUGUCAUUUAUGAAAAACCUAGGGUUAACAGCACACUCAGUGUUGAAAACUUGAACAAGAAAAAAAUGCCCAUUUUCACCAAUUCUGUGAAUGUCUUAGACAUUGUAAAAAGGUAUGAAAUAGAAAUAAAAACAAAAGGUAAGAGAGGAAGAAGUAAACUUAUUUGCACAUAGCCGGCCUAUUUCCAUAUAAAAUUCUUAGGACUCUACAGCACAAUUAUUAUAACUAACCAGUGAGUGAGUGAGAUAUCAGGAUACAAGAUUAAUACUAAGAAGUCAAUUGUAUUUUAAUGUAUUAUCAACAAAAAUUUUAAAAAUGAACUUUAGCAACUUCUAUUGUAUCAUGGUCUAAAAACUUAAUAGAAGAAUAAAUUUAACAAAAUAAGUGACAUGACAUCUGUGCCAAAUUUACAAAAAAACAUAGCAGAAAUUAACGAAGACCUAAAUAGUGAGGGAAAACCAUCAUCAUGAAUUGUAAGAUGCCAUAUUUUUAAAAUGUUAGUUCCUCUCAAAUUGAUCUAUAGCUUCAAAAUAAUACCAAGUCAAAAUCUUAGCAUUUUUUUGUAGAAAUUGACAAUCUGAUUCUAAAAUAUAUAUGGAAAUACAAAAAUCAUACAAUAUCUAAAGUGAUCUUGAAACAACAAAUCUGGAGGAUUUAGACUAGCUGUUUUCUAGCCUUACUACAAAGCUACAGUAAUCAAGAGAAUAUGGUUUUGGCAUAAGAAUUAAUCUACCUAUUAACAGAAUAAAACAAUCCAGAAAUAAACCCAUAUUUACAUGGUCAUUUAGUUUUCAAUGUAGGGACCAAAGCAAGCUGGUGGGGCAAGAAAAGGCUUUUCAAUAAAUGGUGCUGGAGUUACUGGAAAUGUAUAUGAAAAUAAUAAUUACCUUAAUGCCUACUCACAUUCUAUGAAAAAUUUAAAUUGAGAAGAAACGUGCUUAUACAUAAACCAUAAAACGUGUAUUUUCUGGACUUGAAGAGUUCAGUAAAUAUAUCUUAGACAAGCCACAGAAAAUUUAAAAAAAGAUAAAUUAGACUUCCUCAAAAUUAAAAACUUUUGCUCAUAGAUCUAAAAUGUUAAGAGAGUAAGUAAUGAAGCCACAGUCUAUGUGAAAGUAUUUGCAAAAGCAUAUCUCUGAGGAGGUAUUGCUAUCUAAGUAUCAUAAGAUACUAUGAAGAUUCCGACAACUCAAUACUAGAAAAGACAAACAUUCCAAUAAUAGAAAGAGGCAAAAACUUUAAUCAGAUGCUUCACAAAAGUAGAUAAACAAACGGCUAAUAAGCACCAGGAAAAGUGUCAAGAGUUCAAUAUUAUAAGACUUCAGAGAAAUACAAAUUAAAAGCAUAAUGAGCUACCACUAAAUAUCCACCAGAAUGACUAAAAUUAAAAAGAUUUACAUCAAGUGUUGGCAAAUAUGUAGAACAAACAGAACUUCCAUAUAUUCUUGGUGGGUUUGCAAAAUACUAAAACUAAUUUGAAAACAAUUUGACCAUUGUUUAUAAAACUACACAUAUACCUACCCUAUGAUUCAGAUUCAGCAAUUCUAAUACUAGGUAUUUGCUCAAGAGAAAUGAAAACAAAUGUCACAAAAAUUUGUACAAGAAUAUUUGUAGCAGCUUUUUGAUAUUAGCCAAGAACCGGAAAUAACCACAAUGUCCAUUAAUAGGAACAUUAACAAACCAUGUUACAUUUAUACAAUUAUGUGUGUAUGAGAUGGAAUCUCCCUGUGUGGCCCAGGCGGGAGUGCAGUGGCAGGAUCCUAGCCCACUGCAUUCUCCAACUCCCGGGUUCAAGUGAUCCUUCUGCCUCAGUCUCCCAAAUAUCUGGGAUUAGAGAUGUGAGCCAUUGUGCCUGGCUCCCAAAGCUAUAGUUUUUAUUCAGCAGUUGAAAAGAAACAGACUUCUCAUACACUCAACAAAAUGGAAGAAUUUCAAGAAUGUUACACUGAAUAAAAGAAGCCUAUGCACAAAUGUACCUACUGGAUGAUCAUUUCAUACUUAUGGACUUCUAGAAUAAACUAAUUGAAUAUAUGGUGAAAAAUAACCAUUAACAAUGUUUGCCUGGCAGGAUGGCAGAAAUUGAUGAGGAAAGGGAAAGAGACAGCUUUCUGGGGGUGAUGAUGAUGUUCUAUUAAUCGGUAAGGUUUUACGUCAUGUAGAUGUGUGCCAAAACCCAGAGAAUGUAUACUAAAAUGUGUGUAUUCCAUUUUACAUAAAUUAACAUAAAAAACCUCAACAAAUAUUAAAGCCUAUUUAAUGAUAUACAUUCUGGACUCAAGAAAAAAUGGUCAUAUCGUUUCUUAAAAAUGUCAUUUGAAAUGCAUAAAAAAACUUAAAUUUGGUCAAUGGAUGAAUACAUGGAUAAAUAUAUGAUAAAUCAAACAUAGUACAAUGAAGAUAGGAUUUAGAUGAUGGGUAUACAGAAUGUCUAGAAAAUGUUUCCAACUUUGAAAAUGUGUAUAAUAAAAUAAUGAAAUACAAUCAAUUAUUAAAUUAAUGAGCAUGUUUUCUGAUUUCAGUUUGUUCUCAUAGCCUGGAAUUUUGUCCUUUUUCAACAAUUAUUAGCUUGGGUUUGGCAGUAGUGCUGAAUUAAUAACAAUAGUAUCAAUUGCUAUUGCCUACUGUGCAAUUGUUCAAGCAAGGCAUCUUGUACCAGUACUUAUUUUUCUUUUUAUGACAGGAAACACAACAUGAAGUCUCAUUUGCAAAAACAUGAAGUCAGUAGAAACUUACUAUCCCGAAUAAGAGAAUCUAUCCUGGCUUCUUGAAAGUUGUAUCACCCCUCUUAACUAUUG
rnacentral:lncRNA from 10 species